AUACGUAGGGAGUAAGCGUUGUUCGGAAUUACUGGGCGUAAAGGGUGUGUAGGCGGGAGCGCAAGUUGGGGGUGAAAUCUACGGGCUCAACUCGUAAACUGCCCUCAAAACUGCGCUUCUUGAGUAUGGGAGAGGAGUCUGGAAUUCCCAGUGUAGGGGUGAAAUCUGUAGAUAUUGGGAAGAACAUCAGUGGCGAAGGCGAGACUCUGGCCUGAUACUGACGCUGAGACACGAAAGCGUGGGGAGCAAACAGGAUUAGAUACCCUGGUAGUCCACGCCCUAAACGUUGUACACUAGAUGUCGGGGGUAUCGAUUCCCCCGGUGCCGAAGCUAACGCAUUAAGUGUACCGCCUGGGGAGUAUGCUCGCAAGGGUGAA
rnacentral:rRNA from 1 species